rnacentral:rRNA from 1 species
UACGAAGGGGGCUAGCGUUGUUCGGAUUUACUGGGCGUAAAGCGCACGUAGGCGGAUCGUUAAGUCGGGGGUGAAAUCCUGGAGCUCAACUCCAGAACUGCCUUCGAUACUGGCGAUCUAGAGUCCGGAAGAGGUGAGUGGAACUCCUAGUGUAGAGGUGGAAUUCGUAGAUAUUAGGAAGAACACCAGUGGCGAAGGCGGCUCUCUAGUACGGUACUGACGCUGAGACGCGAAAGCGUGGGGAGCAACAGGAUUAA